rnacentral:rRNA from 1 species
GACGAAGGGGGCUAGCGUUGUUCGGAAUUACUGGGCGUAAAGCGCGUGUAGGUGGUUGUCCACGUUGGAUGUGAAAGCCUUGAGCUCAACUCAAGAAAUGCAUUCAGGACUGGAUGGCUAGAGGACCGGAGAGGAUAGUGGAAUUCCCAGUGUAGUGGUGAAAUACGUAGAGAUUGGGAAGAACACCAGUGGCGAAGGCGGCUAUCUGGACGGUUUCUGACACUAAGACUCGAAAGCGUGGGGAGCAAACAGG